CGCUAGUCAGGACUUUGAGUCCUGAGGACCUGGUUUCCGAGAACAGCCUCAGUAGGAACGCACAGAAAGUGGCCGCACUAACCAGGGCCUAGCAAAAGCCCAGUGAUUGAAUUCCGGACUGUGCUGGGAGCUUGGGACCCUACUGCACAUAGCAGGGCUGAGUCUUUCUGCUGCUCCUCUCCAUCCUCCGAACAUUCAACCAGCGGGCUCGAUUACAAGGACCGCAGGACCUCAGCAGUGAACCCGGCUUGGGCAAACGGACGCCUCGGUGUGGAGGGAAAGUGGCUCUCUGGCACGGCGGCUUCCGCCCGCGGCUGCUGUCACUGUGUCUGUCUGCAGGAGCCGAGCCGGGCCACGCUGAUCUAAGUUGCCUGAGUCGUCCAUUCCUGAAGAGAGGAGGCAGAGCCAACCUCUUGUUCCCGCAGAACUGAUUUGAUAUCGAUUUGAAUAAAGGCAUCUGCUGCCAUUUUAUUAAGCGCCCUAUUUAAUCUCCAUGUCCCUGCUUCCACUUUCUCUUAAUAUCAACUGUCCUUGUCCCCUUUCAAAGUCAGAGUGACUCGGAAUCGCUUCAGGACUCUAUUCAGUGUGGCCUCUCAGAUGUGAGUUAGAACCUGAACCUACACCAGAAUUUCCUCCUUUUCUUUCUGCAGUUAUUUUUUUUCUCCACAAUUUUCUUUUUGAGUAUUUUAAAUACUUAAAAAUGUACGUCAAUCAAAAGAAACUACCGAAAAAAACCCCACAAAACUACCAAGUGUCGCAAAUGUUUUGUGUACAAUACCCUUGCAGAAUGUGAGCAAAAUGUCUUUAGAGUGCGGCUUUCAGCUUUCAAACUGAGACAUGCUCAAAUGAGAGGGGGGAAAAAUCCCCACGGCCCAGAGAUGCGGACCAACCCAUCUCCGGAGCGGAAGGAAGGGUGGGCACAGUGGCGCGCCGGCCUUAGAGACGGGAUGUGAAUGAGCACUUCGAUGCACACCUCACUUUAGCUACGGGAAAAUUACCAGGCAG
rnacentral:lncRNA from 1 species